GCAUCCUCAAGUGGUCAGUAGUUUGGAUUGUAAGACCGAAUCAGUUAUAGGUAUUAGGUAAGAGGUUUUCAGUGUUUUCUGUUCUGUUCAUCAACUCACAUUUUUCUCCUAAAAAAACCAUUCACACGUAUUAUUAUUUAUGUGCAAAAAAUAUAACAGGAAGAAUCUAAAACUUAGUUUUGUUCAAGGUUUGUCUAAUUUUGUUUUUUAGUUAAGUAGCAAAGUGACUAGACAUUCAUCUCUUAAGAUGAAUAAGUGGGGUUUGAAGUUUGAACUCCGACCUUUACAUCUUAUCAACUGAGUUAUGCUUAGGAGGACGGUUUAUUUUACAUUUUACUUGUUUAUUUUAUUUUUUUCCGACAACAUUUUGCGUGUUUAUUGUUUAGUCAAAUAAAUAAAAACUUAAUGGAUUAUUUUAUAAUUAGGAAUCAAACUUGGUAUCUUAUAGUUUACAACACUUGCAUAUCUUCAUGGUUACAUUUUAAGGUAAAAUAUUUAAUACAUCUGGUAUAAAGCAUUUUGCAAAUUAAUCUAAAUUUUAAAGAAAACUAUCACAUAACUCUGUCUAUGUCUUCCAUCUCAAAGAAUUUAACAGAUGCUAUUAAUAUUUGGCAAUGCUUAAUAUACUUUUUUUUAAUCAAUAUAUAUUUGAUGCAUGACUAUUUUUUAAGAAUUAAUAACCAGCAUUUUCGUAUGAGCAUGCAUUGCAAUUGAAGAUUUCGAUUAACUCGAACGGCAAAAAAGAAAUGUAAACUACACUGAGAUCAAUUGGGGGACAAAAAAAACCCAAACGCAUCAACUGAUAAGAAAUGAGUCAUCUAAGAGCAACUCCAAUGCUAGUUCUACACAUUGUUCUUGAGAGAAUGAAGUAGUGGUAACAGGGGACUUGGGAGAUGAGGGGUAAUUUAUGUUUUUUGUAUGCUAUUGUUAGAUUAAAUAAUAUGAGUAAAAAUCAAUGUUACCGUUUUAAUUGCAGGGAGACUUAAUGGAACAUAUUUGGUCACAUUUUGGAAUGAUAAUAAUGAAAAUUAAUUUUUCGCUUUUUUUAUGUAUUUCUAUUUGGUUUAACUUGUUUUCAAUAAAUUAUGUAUUUCUUUUCAUAAUUAUAUAAUAAAUGUAUUUUUUUUGUUAUUAAAUAUUUUUAGAAAAAAAUAUAAAUAAGUAUUUUAAUGGAAACAUAUUAAAAUAAAAAAAGAAAUAUGUGGGGUCAAUUGUGUAGGACUGAUGAGUCAAUAAUUAGUUAUUUUAAUAUAAUAUUUAAGUCCGUUUUAUUUAUAUUUGAGUUUAUUUUAUUUAAGUUUAUUUCCUUUUUAGAACUCUUUUAUUACAAUUGCAAGUUAUUAAAUUUCAGGAACAAAUAUUCUAAAGAUUGAGUCUUGGAGCAAAAGAAAGGAGAAUUAGAGUUGAUUCGUGCAAAAAAUAUAAAAGAUCUUAUACAAAAAUAUCUGGUGCAAGGAUUGAGGACAAAAAUAUGAAUAUCUCAUACAAAAAUAUCAUGUGCAAAGAAUUUGAAGAACUUGUACAAAUAUACACAAGAGGCGCGCCCCACUUUAGUCUUUUUGCUGCUUUAACUUUCCGAACAAGCUACCUAUUAGUUUAUUUCUGACCUAAAAGCCCUUGGUUUCUUAUGGAACAUUCUAGUGAUGUAUUACUUAGGUUUUAAGUCGUUAUAGACUAUAAAUAGAGUAGCUAGCUAUUAUAACAAUUCAUCUUUUGUUCUUG
rnacentral:lncRNA from 1 species